rnacentral:rRNA from 1 species
UACGUAGGGUGCGAGCGUUGUCCGGAAUUAUUGGGCGUAAAGAGCUCGUAGGCGGUCUGUCGCGUCGGUCGUGAAAACUUGGGGCUUAACCCUGAGCUUGCGGUCGAUACGGGCAUCACUGGAGUUCGGCAGGGGAGACUGGAAUUCCUGGUGUAGCGGUGAAAUGCGCAGAUAUCAGGAGGAGCACCGGUGGCGAAGGCGGGUCUCUGGGCCGAUACUGACGCUGAGGAGCGAAAGCGUGGGGAGCGAACAGG